GGCCCAAAUUCCUACGGGAGGCUGCAGUAGGGAUCUUCCACAAUGGGCGAAAGCCUGAUGGAGCAACGCCGCGUGUGUGAUGAAGGCUUUCGGGUCGUAAAGCACUGUUGUAUGGGAAGAAAAGUUAAGGUAGGGAAUGACCUUAGCCUGACGGUACCAUACCAGAAAGGGACGGCUAAAUACGUGCCAGCAGCCGCGGUAAUACGUAUGUCCCGAGCGUUAUCCGGAUUUAUUGGGCGUAAAGCGAGCGCAGACGGUUGGUUAAGUCUGAUGUGAAAGCCCGGAGCUCAACUCCGGAAAGGCAUUGGAAACUGGUUAACUUGAGUGCAGUAGAGGUAAGUGGAACUCCAUGUGUAGCGGUGGAAUGCGUAGAUAUAUGGAAGAACACCAGCGGCGAAGGCGGCUUACUGGACUGUAACUGACGUUGAGGCUCGAAAGUGUGGGUAGCAAACAGGAUUAGAUACCCUGGUAGUCCACACCGUAAACGAUGAACACUAGGUGUUAGGAGGUUUCCGCCUCUUAGUGCCGAAGCUAACGCAUUAAGUGUUCCGCCUGGGGAGUACGACCGCAAGGUUGAAACUCAAAGGAAUUGACGGGGACCCGCACAAGCGGUGGAGCAUGUGGUUUAAUUCGAAGCAACGCGAAGAACCUUACCAGGUCUUGACAUCCUUUGAAGCUUUUAGAAAUAGAAGUGUUCUCUUCGGAGACAAAGUGACAGGUGGUGCAUGGUCGUCGUCAGCUCGUGUCGUGAGAUGUUGGGUUAAGUCCCGCAACGAGCGCAACCCUUAUUGUUAGUUGCCAGCAUUCAGAUGGGCACUCUAGCGAGACUGCCGGUGACAAACCGGAGGAAGGCGGGGACGACGUCAGAUCAUCAUGCCCCUUAUGACCUGGGCUACACACGUGCUACAAUGGCGUAUACAACGAGUUGCCAACCUGCGAAGGUGAGCUAAUCUCUUAAAGUACGUCUCAGUUCGGACUGCAGUCUGCAACUCGACUGCACGAAGUCGGAAUCGCUAGUAAUCGCGGAUCAGCACGCCGCGGUGAAUACGUUCCCGGGUCUUGUACACACCGCCCGUCACACCAUGGAAGUUUGUAAUGCCCAAAGCCGGUGGCCUAACCGUAAGGAGGGAACCGUCUAA
rnacentral:rRNA from 1 species